GAUUCUGUAGUGUAGUGGUUAUCACAUCUGCCUAACAUGCAGGAGGUCUUGGGUCCAAUCCCCAUUGGAAUCA